rnacentral:rRNA from 1 species
AACGAACGCUGGCGGCAUGCCUCAUACAUGCAAGUCGAACGGAAAGGCCCUUUCGGGGGUACUCGAGUGGCGAACGGGUGAGUAACGCGUGGGUAACGUGCCCUUUGGCUGGGGAUAACCGGGAGAAAUUCUGGCUAAUACCGAAUAAGCUCGCGAGGACUUUGGUCUUUGUGAGGAAAGGGGGGCAACUCCCACCGAAGGAUCGACCCGCGUCCCAUCAGCUAGUUGGUAGGGUAACGGCCUACCAAGGCAGCGACGGGUAGCUGGUCUGAGAGGAUGAUCAGCCACACUGGGACUGAGAUACGGCCCAGACUCCCACGGGAGGCAGCAGUAGGGAAUAUUGGACAAUGGACGAAAGUCUGAUCCAGCAAUGCCGUGUGUGUGAUGAAGGCCCUCGGGUUGUAAAGCACUGUCGGGAGGGACGAAAAUGGUCGUGUAACGGCGACAACUGACGGUACCUCCUAAGGAAGCACCGGCUAACUCUG